rnacentral:rRNA from 1 species
UACGUAGGGCGCAAGCGUUGUCCGGAAUUAUUGGGCGUAAAGAGCUCGUAGGCGGCUUGUCACGUCGGGUGUGAAAGCCCGGGGCUUAACCCCCGGGUCUGCAUUCGAUACGGGCAGGCUAGAGUGUGGUAGGGGAGAUCGGAAUUCCUGGUGUAGCGGUGGAAUGCGCAGAUAUCAGGAGGAACACCGAUGGCGAAGGCAGAUCUCUGGGCCGUAACUGACGCUGAGGAGCGAAAGCAUGGGGAGCGAACAGG